rnacentral:rRNA from 1 species
UACGUAGGGGGCUAGCGUUGUCCGGAUUUAUUGGGCGUAAAGAGCGUGUAGGCGGCCAGAUAGGUCUGCUGUGAAAACUCGAGGCUCAACCUCGAGCUGUCGGCGGAAACCAUCUGGCUAGAGUCCGGAAGAGGAGAGUGGAAUUCCCGGUGUAGCGGUGAAAUGCGCAGAUAUCGGGAAGAACACCUGUGGCGAAGGCGGCUCUCUGGGACGGUACUGACGCUGAGGAGCGAAAGCGUGGGGAGCGAACAGG